AUAGUAAAUACAUUUUGUUUUAGCUACAUAUAUCUUCAUGGAUAUGUGUACUGGAUUAUGAUGAAAAAUGUCUUUCUUACUAUGAGUACAGUAAAAAAAAGCAACUUUUUUUUUUUGAGGCAGAGUCUUACUCUGUCACCCAAGCUGGAGUCCAGUGACAUGAUCUCAGCUCACUGCAACCUCCACCUCCCAGGUUCAAGCAAUUCUCCUGCCUCAGCCUCCCAAGUAGCUGGGAUUGCAGGUGCCCACCACCACACUUGGCAAAUUUUUGUAUUUUUAGUAGAGACAGGGUUUCACCAUGUUGGCCAGGCUGGUCUCGAACUCCUGACCUCAGGUGAUCUGCCCGCCUCGGCCUUCCAAAGUGUUGGGAUUACAGGCAUGAGCCACUGUGCCCGGCCAAAAAAAGGCAACUUUGAAUGCUGCUCAUCUGCAGUUAAAGAGCACUGCCAGGCCUGAUAUUCAAAGCCAUCGAGGCAGAAGCAAUUGCUGAGGAAGAUCAGGCAAUGCUUCAUGGGAAAAAGGGUCUCACUGUGUCAUCCAGGCUGGAGUGCAGUGGUGCAAUCUCGGCUCACCACGACCUCCACCUCCUGGGUUCAAGUGAUUCUCCUACUUCAUCCUCCCAAGUAGCUGGGACUACAGGGGACCAGAUGUGCAGAGGUAAUGAAUACCAGGGAAUCAGGAAACCACUGGAUCAGUUCUUUGAGCCACAGAACAACACUCAUCCCAGCAGCUGGGAAGCUAUCUGCAAAAGUCCAUCUGCAGAAAGGGCUUCCUGGUCUUGCGUGUGGCUGGGCCAUUUCUCUGGAUGCAGGUUUUUCAUUAUACAGUCUUCUCAAAGAACCACCUGCUCU
ensembl:lncRNA PCBP1-AS1 PCBP1 antisense RNA 1